rnacentral:tRNA from 4 species
GCGGGAAUAGCUCAGUGGUAGAGCACAACCUUGCCAAGGUUGGGGUCGCGGGUUCGAUCCCCGUUUCCCGCUCCA